rnacentral:rRNA from 1 species
AUAAUAACUUAACGGAUCGCAUGGCCUUGCGCCGGCGACGGUUCAUUCAAAUUUCUGCCCUAUCAACUUUCGAUGGUAAGGUAUUGGCUUACCAUGGUUUCAACGGGUAACGGGGAAUUAGGGUUCGAUUCCGGAGAGGGAGCCUGAGAAACGGCUACCACAUCCAAGGAAGGCAGCAGGCGCGCAAAUUACCCAAUCCCGACACGGGGAGGUAGUGACAAUAAAUACUGAUACAGGGCUCUUUUGGGUCUUGUAAUCGGAAUGAGUACAAUUUAAACCCCUUAACGAGGAACAAUUGGAGGGCAAGUCUGGUGCCAGCAGCCGCGGUAAUUCCAGCUCCAAUAGCGUAUAUUAAAGUUGUUGCAGUUAAAAAGCUCGUAGUUGAACCUUGGGCCUGGCUGGCCGGUCCGCCUCACCGCGUGUACUGGUCCGGCCGGGCCUUUCCUUCUGGAGAGCCCCAUGCCCUUCACUGGGCGUGCGGGGGAACCAGGACUUUUACUUUGAAAAAAUUAGAGUGUUCAAAGCAGGCCUUUGCUCGAAUACGUUAGCAUGGAAUAAUAGAAUAGGACGUGCGGUCCUAUUUUGUUGGUUUCUAGGACCGCCGUAAUGAUUAAUAGGGAUAGUCGGGGGCAUCAGUAUUCAAUUGUCAGAGGUGAAAUUCUUGGAUUUAUUGAAGACUAACUACUGCGAAAGCAUUUGCCAAGGAUGUUUUCAUUAAUCA